CCGAACCGACUAAUGUUGAAAAAUUAGCGGAUGACCUGUGGCUGGGGGUGAAAGGCCAAUCAAACCGGGAGAUAGCUGGUUCUCCCCGAAAGCUAUUUAGGUAGCGCCUCGUGAAUUCAUCUCCGGGGGUAGAGCACUGUUUCGGCUAGGGGGCCAUCCCGGCUUACCAACCCGAUGCAAACUGCGAAUACCGGAGAAUGUUAUCACGGGAGACACACGGCGGGUGCUAACGUCCGUCGUGAAGAGGGAAACAACCCAGACCGCCAGCUAAGGUCCCAAAGUCAUGGUUAAGUGGGAAACGAUGUGGGAAGGCCCAGACAGCCAGGAUGUUGGCUUAGAAGCAGCCAUCAUUUAAAGAAAGCGUAAUAGCUCACUGGUCGAGUCGGCCUGCGCGGAAGAUGUAACGGGGCUAAACCAUGCACCGAAGCUGCGGCAGCGACACUGUGU
rnacentral:rRNA from 1 species